GAUGAAGAACGUAGCGAAAUGCGAUAAGUAAUGUGAAUUGCAGAAUUCAGUGAAUCAUCGAAUCUUUGAACGCACAUUGCGCCCGCCAGUAUUCUGGCGGGCAUGCCUGUUCGAGCGUCAUUUCAACCAUCAAGCCCCCGGCUUGUGUUGGGGACCUGCGGCUGCCGCAGGCCCUGAAAACCAGUGGCGGGCUCGCUAGUCACUCCGAGCGUAGUAAUACAUCUCGCUCAGGGCGUGCUGCGGGUUCCGGCCGUUAAAAAGCCUUAUUUACCCAAGGUUGACCUCGGAUCAGGUAGGAAGACCCGCUGAACUUAAGCAUAUCAACAAGCGGAGGA
rnacentral:misc_RNA from 1 species